rnacentral:lncRNA from 1 species
UACACCCUAAACCUCCGGCACCACACAGAACCCACGGCAACCCACGUGGACCUGAGAGACAUAACCCCCCCGGACACCUGGAUGUGCACAGCUCACACCGAGAACACGGAGAUCCAAACAACACCCAACGGGACCACGCGCACAACAACGAGGGCACCACAAGGCCAAAAGCGGCGGAAGAUCAAACACCUGCGUGCAGUGCAACUAACCN